AUCCGCUGCAAGGCUGCAACUUCGCUGGCUUCCUUGGCAAACGCUCGAACACCUCUACGGCAAAUCCUCUCCGCCGAUGCGCGCCCUCCUCUCCGUCCGCCUCCGGCGCCUGCUCUCUCUGCCCCUAAGAGCGAGGCCCUCCUCCUCCUCCUCCUCCUCCUCCUCCGGCGGAACCCACGAGAUCCCCACCCUCUAUUCCUUCCUCCAGCCUAACAUCUUCGCGCCGCGCCCCAGGCCCCAACCCCCGCCGCCACAACCACAUCCCUCACCGGACCCCGCGCCCAAAGCCCUGCCCGUCGCGGACGCCGUCGCGCUCGAGGAAAGCCUGCUCGCCGCCGUCGCCGAGGGCCGCUCGGAUGACGCGUGGCUCGUGUUCAAGUCCCUGGCGGCGGCCUCCCUCUCGCCGUCGCCUCCCGCCGCGGCGGCCCUCGUAUCCCACCUCGUCGCGGACAACCACCGCCUUGGCCUCAAGCGCGCCUUUGCCGCCGCCGUCUUCCUGCUGGAGAAGAGCCCCCAUGCCUCCCCCCUCCUGGAGGCCGCGCUCGGGGCUCUCUUCUCCUCCCUCGCCGCGUCGGGCUCCGCCGCCCCGGCGCUGGCCCUCGCGCGUGCUCUCCUCGGCUGCGGGCGCCGCCUGCCGGCUUUCUCCGCCUGGGGCCUUCCGCUGAUAGACCUCACCCGCGCUGACACAGCCUCCUUUGCGGCCUUCUUGAAGGUGUUUGAAGAAGCCUGCAAGCUCAUGGCGGAGGAGAAGUCUCCGGCUGUGGUAGCGGUCAUGCGGCCUGAUCUCGCGGCCUGCAAUGCUGUUCUUGAUGGAUGCUGCCGCAGGCUCGGCUCAGUCGCAGAUGCUGAGAAGGUCUUGGAGAUUAUGCCAGCUGUUGGGGUGUCGCCAGAUGUGGAGAGCUUUGGACAUCUUGCAUUCUUGUAUGCGUGGAGAGCUGUUCCAAGCCGGGUCGAUGAGCUCGAUAAGUUGCUGGAAGCUCUGGGCUUCAGCAAGAAAGGGUUUUUCAAGAAUUUAGUGAGUGGGUAUUUGAAGUCUUGCAGCUUUGAGUCAGUUUCCUCAAUCAUACUUCGUGCGGUGGAGGAGAGAAGAGUUGGGGAUGGCAAUCCAUUUGAUGAUGAGUGCUACACUGAGGUCGCACAAUGCUUUGUUGAUAAUGGAAGGAUCAGGGAACUGGCUCAGUUGAUCUUCCAAGCACAAGAGAUUGAGUUGACACAUCAAUUGCCAGUAGUUGAUGAUUCUGUUGGGUUUGGGAUUGUCAAUGCUUGUGUCGGACUUGGUCUAUUGAACAAGGCUCAUAACAUACUUGACGAAAUGACUGCCCAAGGAGCCUCUGUGGGGCUAGCUAUAUACUCCCCAAUCUUGAAAGCAUAUUGCAAGGAGCAGAAGACUGCAGAGGCUGCACAGCUCGUGGCGGAGAUUAGCGCAGCAGGGCUACAGCUUGAUGCUGGCAGUUAUGAUGCUCUUAUUGAUGCUUCCAUGACAGCCCAUGAUUUCCAGUCUGCGUUUGCACUUUUCAAAGAUAUGAGGGAGGCGAGGCUACCAGAUCUUAGGACAAGCUAUCUUACUAUAAUGACAGGCUUGACGGAGAACAACCGGCCUGAGCUCAUGGCAUCAUUCUUGGAUGCAGUGGUUGAUGACCCGAGAAUAGAGAUUGCUACACAUGAUUGGAACUCUAUAAUACAUGCCUUUUGCAAGGUUGGGAGGUUAGAGGAUGCUCGAAGAACAUACCGAAGGAUGCUAUUCCUGUUAUAUGAACCAAACAAUCAGACAUACCUCUCACUUAUCAAUGGGUAUCUCUCAGCAGAGAAGUACUUUAAUGUGCUCAUACUAUGGACAGAAGUGAGGAGGAAGGGGGCUGAUUUUAACCACGAGUUGAUUGAUGCCUUUCUGCAUGCUUUGGUCAAGGGUGGAUUUUUUGAUAUGGCAAUGCAGGUGAUUGAGAAGGCACAAGAGUUGAAAAUAUUUGUAGAUAAGUGGAGGCACAAACAAGCCUUCAUGGAAACCCACAAGAAGCUAAAAGUGGCGAAGCUGAGAAAACGCAACUUUAGGAAAAUGGAAGCUCUGAUCGCAUUCAAGAACUGGGCGGGUCUUAACUCAUAACAUUUUAACCUAUCAUGCGAUUCCUCGCUGAAUUUGUGGCAGUUCAAAGUGGCGAAGCUGAGAAAGUGCAACUUUAGGAAAAUGGAAGCUCUGAUCAUGUUAAAGAACUGAGCUGGUCUUAUUUCAUAAGAUUGCAACCUAUCAUGUGAUUCCUCACUGAAUUUGAUCACACAGUGAGGAAUUGUGUGAGAUGACAUGUGAUUCCUCACAACCUAUCAUGUGAUUCCUCACAACCUAUCAAGCUUGUGUGAGAUGACAUUCCAAAUAAUUUUGAAGCUGUAGCAAGCAGCAAACCUUCAGAGAUGAACAAGUGUAGGCGAUAUGCCAAUAUGUGAUCAUUGAUAUGUUUGCAACAAGGGUAAUGUUGACUCGGAGCAGUUUCACACGGAAGACACCUAUAGUACCAGGCACAAUUGUAGAAAAGAAGGAAUACAGUGCACAUAACAUAAACGGGUGUUCAAGUUAUUGAUAAAUCUUCACCUUGGAAGAUAACCCUUCCUGACAAAUGUACGAGACUUUGAAGAAUACAGAAAUGCUGGCAGCUUUAUUGGUGGAGUACAAGCAAAUAUUAUGCGAUACACUUGGUGCCCGCCUUAAAAUAGACAGUGACUUGCUUCAGCCCUCCAAGUUAUUGAACUGGUGGUAUAUUCUAUCUGAUAUGCAUGCAAUGGUAGUAACAAUGUGCUAUUGUGCAGAGUUUUCUUUUAUGUUGCUAUAUGAAAACCUAAGCCUUAGUCUGUAGUAACCGAAAGAGAACCAUUAUGCUGGAUCUGUAUCAUGUUCUUUUGAA